rnacentral:tRNA from 1 species
GGGUCUAUGGGCUAACUUGGUUAUACUUGCGCCUUUGGGAGGCGUUGAUUCCGGUUCAAAUCCGGAUAGACCCA